CUGAUGCUACCCACUUUCAUUCUGAGUCUUCCUACCCAAUUAAUCUUAUCUAUAUACUUCACUACUUAUCUCCUAAAGGAUUUCUGAUCUUGUGAAGUUGACCAUCCCUAUAACCAAUACACCAGUCAUUUGAACUUUCUGGCUAUGAUAUUCCAAGUUUCUGACAUUGAAGAAAACCAGCUAAUAGAAUAAAUAUGCAUGUAAAGAAAUGGUUUCAUGAAGGCAUUGAAAAACCAAAUUAUGGCAUGGAAUAUGAAUUACAACUUUGGAACAUGUAAUGAGUGGUUAUACUAGUUUGCAAUCCCACCAGCAAUAGAAGAGUGUUCUUCUUUCUCCACAUAAAGAAUGAGUUCUUAAGCACAUGUCUUGGAACUUGCUGGAAUAGAUGGAUGGCGACCUGGAAAAAGGGUGUAAUGAGAGAAGAGUAGAAGAGGAGACGAGGAGAGUCCAGCCAUGAGCAUGUGGAGUGAAGAGGGAAGGGGAAUGGUGAGAGAAGGGACAAAGGCGAAGAGGGGAAAAGGUGAAGAGCAAGGAGUAAGAAAGCCUGUUUUUGUUUUUAAAACUGUUUCUCUGUAUAGAAUUGUCUGGCUGUUCUAGAACUUACUCUCUGUAGAUCAGACUGUCCUUAAACUCAGCAAUCUUCCUGUCUCUGUCCCCCCACAAGUGCUGUGAUUAAAGGCAUAUGCCACUAUACCUGGCUAAAAAUAUAUUCUUGAAACCUAGAAAUGUCCCAUGUGUGCAUCAGCCCAAAAAUAUAUAAUACAAACCCAAUAGAGUGUUAUAUAAAAAAGGUAAUGAGCACACAAAAAAUUACAUAGCACAAUAUUGAAAAAUACCUAAUGAAUAAAACAUUCCAUAGUAUAUUUUUUAUUUAUAAAUAGUCCAUCAAUUGACAAAACCAAUGUACAAUGAGAAAAAAAUGUUUUGGAAUUAGAUAGAUGUGAGCUCUAAUCUUGGUCUUGCAAAUAUAAAAUUAAGGAGUUUGGGACAAGUUGAUUGCCUCACAAAUUUCAGGGUCUCUAUAUGGUAUUUAAAGCAUCCAGUAUAUCUUUCCUUUAAAGCACAUAGAAUACAGUGAAUCAUGCUACUGGUGUUGCAAACUCUGACAUCCAGUUUUCCUUUUGAUCUUUGUUAUUAAGGAUCAGAAGACAUUCCUAAGUUUAUUUCUGUUUGUUUAUAUUUUUUCACUUUUACAUACAUUUUGGUUUUUGUAUGCUUGUUUGCUCUAUGCCUCUUCCACACUUUCUGUUCUCCUCUUUCUCUCCCUUCUUUCCAUUUCCAUAUACUUCUCUCCAUAUUUCCAUCUUGUCCCUGCCUUGAUCUUAAUUUUGGCUUGUCAAGACUUCACUCGGAUACAACACCAAAAAGCUCAUUCAGUACUAAAAGAAGUUGAUGAAUUUUCCUCACAACAUCUCCCAUCUGGGUCUCUCUUCUCAUUUCCACACCUAUGGCUAUGGAUCAAGUCCACCAUUAUAGUGUACACACAUGUGUAUUAGAGGUGAGUUCAUUCCUGAGUUCAAACCACAGCUAUGUUAGGAGAGAAAUAAUAGCUUGUGAGAAAAGCAUUGCUUUAAUCUGAAUAAAUAAUUAUUUGAUUAUUCUGAUGUUUGGGUUUGUUUGCCAUGCAUAUAUAAACUGCAGCCACAUCAAUCCAUAUCUCCUGAGUCAACUGCCUCACAAUCAUAGCACAGGACUCCAAGAUUUCAUGAUUAUCCAGCCCAUACAAUCCUAAUGGUUACAAGUAUUGUCUUCCAUAUUUUCCGUUUUCCUCUAGUUUGAUAGCUUUUCUCUUUAGAGAUCGUUUUUUAAGAGUGCACAAUGCCUCAGUACUCCUUAGUUUAAGUACUUCUAAGAACUGCUCAAUGUACUUGGAAUAAUUUGAAGUUCUAAAUAUCACCCACCAGGACUGCCAGGAUCCUUUCUUCCAGCAUCUACCUGACACUGUCCUCUCCCUUCACUACAGUGGCCUUUUUUGUGCUUCUCAAAUACUACACUUUCAUCCAUCUCCAGAUUUUCUCAGUCUAAGUCUUUAUCAGAAUACUCUCCCAGAUUUCUUAGAUAGAGCUUCCUCAGAAUAUUCUAAUCUAAGUAUCAUAUCUGGAGAUACUUCCUAAGAUUAGUCUGGCUAAAGUAACUUUUGCCACACCCUAGGUUCCAACAUCAUUCUAUUUUUUUGUUACAACAUUCAGCAUUGGCUCACUAAUCUGUUAUACUUUGUUGUUUAUAUGCUUUCUAGAGUCACAUGUUGACAGUAUUAUUGGAUAGUAUGUUGUGAUUUCAGUAGCUUUCAAUCCUCAGUGC